CUCCCAGCCCCAGCUCGGGUGCACGGACAGCAGUGCUGAGUACUUUGAAACGUCCUUCCGAUGUGAGAAAAGGCACUGUGUGAAUAUUAUUAGUUUCUGGAAGGGAGACACAAAAAUAUUGCUUUUGUGGCCCACGGACAUUCUCAAAUCUGGCAUCGGGUCCUCAACAGCCAAAAGGUUGGGCUACCCUGCUGUACAGUAAAAUACCGUGAAGAGUUUUCAGACAUAUUGACAACAGGAGAAGGCACUAUUUCAAAUACAAGGUGGCACCUCUCGAAGCCAUGACAAAGGACCAUAUAUUAAAUGCAAGGAUUAUUGUUCAAUACGAGUUUUUUCAGAUCGCACCAGAAGAUCUUCCUCUUCGACAGUGUUGUGGUCAUCUGCCAGGCUUGGCGUCAAGCGCCGUCGCUGUUAAUCUCUUCGAGCAUCAAGGGCAAGGUGGACAGCAAGUGAAAUACUUUUGUAGCCCGAAGACAACCGAAACUAGCCCAAUAUUAUGCCUUGCCUGCUAAUGGGUAGCAGAGUGGUCAAUUUACGCUCGUGCUCUUGAAACUGUAAGAAAAGUAUUUCAAAAGAAAAAAAAA